CCAUAAUAAUGGACUCUAAUUAGUAAGUGUCAGCUAGAGGAUUACUAUCAGCUAGACGAUAAGUGUCUCUCUGCAAGAAAAAGUACCGUUGCAGCUUUGCCAUUAGCAUCAUCUAGAUAUACGCGACCAUGUUGAUUUUUUUGUUCUUCUUCCACUCCCAUGCCAAGCACUUCGGGGCAAGCAGACGAAUUUGUGGCAGUAGAUUAUCGAGAGAUCCGUGACGUGUUAUGUGGGGUAGCUAAUAAAUGUUCAGUGUGUUCCGCUUUCAACAUUGUUUUGGCUACUCGUUUAACAUACAGAAAUUAGCCAUUUUCUUGUACCAACCUGAGGGACCCUCUUUUUCACGACGCACAACACACGAUUAUUUGAAGGUUGAUUUUCACUAGACGUCAUUUCAAGGGUGCAGUUCCUAUCCACAGCCCUACAGUGUGCAAAAAUAGACAGUGGAAAAAAUCUGCUCAUACGGAUCUGCUCAAUGCCGGCUUCAUCUAAACUGUUAUUGAACAUAGGACUACACAGUAUUAAAAGACUCUACCCUUAAGGAAAUUUGCAGCUGUGGACUUUCUUUAGAUGAUUCUUGAAUCGUAAAUAGAUUCCUGCUUCUUAGAACAAGAAACAUAGCAGAUAUCUUGAUGCCAACUAAGUGUCAUUGGAAAGAAACAGGAAAAACCUUAAGUUGGAGGACAAUACAUUUGUUUCCCAUUGCCAGUUCUGUAAACCAAAUAGUAAAUUGGUAAAAUGAAACAACACAUGACCUAUUACUUUAGAUCAAUUGUUUUCACAAGUGGAGUUUGAUUCCACAAUCUUCAGCUUCCCAGGCAGACACCCAUCCACACAGCCGUGGGUUAUAGAUGCUAUAAACAAUUUAUUAAUUAAAUAAUUUAUAUUUUAGGUUAUUGAUUGCACUUCACGGUCGUGUAGUAGAACCUUUUAAAGCUUUCCAUAAAGAUGAAGUAAGAGCCUUAGGUCGCGAGCUGGGUCUGUUCGCAGAUUUACUGUAACGUUAUCCGUUUCCUGGUCCCGGUUUGUCCAUUCGA
rnacentral:lncRNA from 1 species